UCUAAGUAUAACCUGCCAGACAGGGAAACUGCGUACGGCUCAUUACACCAGCCUUAAUUUACUUGACCUUGACAACCUACUUGGAUAACUGUGGUUAUUCUAGAGCUAAUACAUGCACCAAAGCUCCGAUCCUCGCGGAGAGGAGCGCAUUUGUUCGCCACAAAACCAAGCGCCCAUCUGGGCGUCCAGUGCUGAACCAGAACAACUCAGCUGAUCGCACGGUCUUGUACCGGCGACGUGUCUUUCAAGUGUCUGCCUUAUCAACUUUCGAUGGUAGUGUACCUGACUACCAUGGUUGUGACGGGUAACGGAGGAUAAGGGUUCGACUCCGGAGAAGGGGCCUGAGAAAUGGCCACUACGUCUAAGGAUGGCAGCAGGCGCGCAAAUUACCCACUCUCAACGCGAGGAGGUAGUGACGAGAAAUAACGAGACCGUUCUCAUACGAGGCCGGUUAUUGGAAUGGGUACAAUUUAAA
rnacentral:rRNA from 1 species